UACGGGGGGAGCAAGCGUUGUUCGGAUUUACUGGGCGUAAAGGGCGCGUAGGCCGUCAGCACAAGUCAGUUGUGAAAUCUCCGGGCUUAACUCGGAAAGGUCAACUGAUACUGUGCGACUAGAGUGCAGAAGGGGCAACUGGAAUUCUCGGUGUAGCGGUGAAAUGCGUAGAUAUCGAGAGGAACACCUGCGGCGAAGGCGGGUUGCUGGGCUGACACUGACGCUGAUGCGCGAAAGCCAGGGGAGCGAACGGG
rnacentral:rRNA from 1 species